rnacentral:misc_RNA from 1 species
AAGUCGUAACAAGGUUUCCGUAGGUGAACCUGCGGAAGGAUCAUUAAAAAAUCAAUAAUAGAAGCCGCAAGGUUUCUUGAGCCGUAAGGCUCUAAUAUUUUGUGAACUGUGUUGUAUGUGUGUGUGAAGUGUGCGUGAUAUCCUCUGGGUCACCACGAUGAUAUCGGUGUACAUGACAUACACACUACAAAUUUGAUAAUAUAUAUGAUUUUGAUGUUGAGGAAAGUAUUAUAUUUAAUUAAUAUAUAUACAACUUUCAACAGUGGAUCUCUCGGCUCUU